CCCGAGUCCACCUCUUCCUCCACUUUCCAGCCUUGCAAGGUCCCCGGUACCUGCGCUCCUCCCACGUGCGUCAGCACCGCCGGUUUCCUUCCCGGCAGGUGCCCACUUUAGGCGUCGGUGCUCUCUGCGCCUCCCAGGAAGCAGGGGGAGCCAUCCUCACACACCGCAGCCCAACCGGGACGCUAGUGGCUGGGCACGCCGGGCCGGGAUCAGCGCGAGGAGUCGGUUCCCAGGCGCUCCGUGUCGCCAUGAACACGCCCUCCAGCUUCGCCUGCUGAGACUGGUCCAUUCCCUCUGGUGACCAGGAAGGAUGACAGAGAGGCUCACCUGCUGGGAGAGCUCAUCCCACUGGGUUCCUUGCAGGCUCUGAGCUCCUGAAGGGUGAAGCCUCACCUCUUCCCACCUGACCUAACAUGAACUGUCCCUUCUAGUGAUAGGAAAUGAGCCCAACCUGAAUUCAAAUCCAGGAACCUGCCAAGUCCUGCAAUGAAGACACCGAGACUCAGAGUGUCCAUGAGACCUGCCAAAGGUCUUAUUGCUGGAAAGGUAUCACCCUACCUUAUUGUUAUCUCAACGUCAUGUGUGUCCAGGAUGAACAAAGAAAAAUACCUCCUUUCAAAGAUCCAACAUACAAGUAUAGAAGAUGAAGUAAGUAUACUAUGGCAAAGCUACUAAAAUAUGUAGUCAGCUAUGGUACUGCUGUUUGUGCAGAAUUUUUUUAAAAAGGAUAACAACAGCAAAAAGCUGCAGCAGCAAGGACAACAUCGAUACAUGGAAUUGUGGACUUUACCCCAAUCUGCAUUCAUUUCUGAUGACAGAACCUGUUUUCCUUCUGGAGAAUUAUUCCUCCUCCAUUCUUAUCCAUGUGAUCUGAGUACACAGGGAGUGAAGAUUGUGACCCAAGACUGACCCAUUGUGUUCUCUUGGUGCAGCUGUAACAAAUGAUCACAAACUUAGAGGGUUACAAUUCUGGAGGUCAGAAGUCCAAAAUGGUUCUCAUGGGGCUAAAAUCAUGGUGUCAGAAGGCAGAACUGGUUCCUUUCAGAGGUCCCAGGGAGAGAAUGUUUCCUGUCUCUUUAAGCUUAUAGAGCCUGCCAGCAUUCCUUGGCUUGUGGUUACUUUACUAUAAUUUCUGAUUCCAUCAUCAUGUUGCCUGACCACUGCUCCUUCUGCUUCCCUCCUAUAAAUGCCCUUGUGAUUCCACUGGGCACACCCAGAUCAUCCAGGGUAAUCUUUUCAUCUCAAGAUCCUUAAUUUCACCACACCUGAAAAGUCCCUUUUGCCAUGUAAGGUAUCAUAUUCAUAGGUUCCUGGGAUCAGUGAACAUAUUUGGGGGACUAUGAAUUGACCUCCCACAAUUAGUUAAUCAAAGCUUGAAAUUCUCCCAGCAAUUGUCAUUGUUUGGGAUGAGCAAGUGACCCAGAACUGUCCAGUCAGAGGGACUCCUAGGACCUGUGCUAUCAGGAAGAGGCUCCCCUCUGCUGACCUUGGGGUUGUGGGGAAUUGGACCAGCACUGGCUCCACUGUAGCCAACCUGCCACGCCAAGGGCAGGGCUUGUCUCUGAGUAACAGCCACUCCGUUGAUUGACUCUCUGGCCAGGUCUGCAUCUGGACUUUCCAUUUUGGAAAUAAAUGUGAUUCCAUUUACUGAAGUCAGUUGAUUUUUUUUUUGGCGUCAUUUGCAAUUAAAAAAAAAAGUCCUCCUAGAUGUAAGCAAUAAUAAUUUUAUUGAGUUCUUACUUUCUAUGCAGUAUUCUCCUAAGAGUUUUACAUGGAUCUGAGACAGGCUGGGACCUGGGACCUGGACCCCUUUGCUGCAGUGCUUGUAACUGGACCAAUGCCUCCUCAAGCAACAAAAUACAAAGAGAUUAUAAGGGACUAAAUAUAACUGUGUGCAUGUGCAGUUGGUGUAAAUUAGGGACAACAAGAUACAAAAAGAUCAGAAAAAAACCCAAUUGCCACUUCUGAAGAGCCAGGAGCAAAAACAGAGUAUUGCACAUGCCCCCUGCACUCAACACCACCAAAGGGGUGGGCAAACCGCCUAAGCCAUCCUUCUGGUCCAAGGACACACCUCUACCCUCACACCAUAUAAGGAACAAGCUCACCAUCCCCUCAGGGAGCGACCAAGGGAAACUGUUGCUUGUUCUUGCUGGCUAAGGCUGCAGCAGGGGUCCCAGUAAAGCCUUGCCUAAAUUUCUUGUCUGGCCUCUGAUCAAUUUCUAUUGAUUAGGGAAGACCAAGAACACUGGUAGGUAUCAGAUCCUCUCACUUUACCCUCACACAGCCCUGUAAUAAGUUGACGGCUGUUAUUAUCCUCACUUUGUAUGUGACACUUUGAGGCUUACAGAGUUUUAGUGCCCAGAUCAAGGAUACAGAGCAGGUUAGAGUGAUAUCCUGGAUAUCAGUUUGUUUUCAGAGAUUUAACCACUCUGCUAAAAAUAAUCUUUGCCGUAUUGAAGGAAAAGCCUGGGUAAAAUGGUAGGGUCUCUAUGAUAAAAUUAUAAAAAUGAAAUCAAACUCUGCAUAACAACCAUUACAGGAAGAGACAAUAUCUCUUGGGAGCACUAAGAUACUUUUCUGGGGGAGGAGUAUAUUCAAUUUUUUUUUAAUAAUUGGUGUUUAUCACUUUUUAAAAUGGAAAAUCAUUUUUAUUUAAUCAGAGAUAAGCUCCUUCCUUGCAAAAUUGUGUUUGAGUGUCGAUUCUGUGAUCAUAAGGACUGCAGAUAAGGUUUUGAAGCCUGGAAUAAGAGUCUGCUAAUUGCUGCAUUUACACUCAUUCUUUCUGGGAGUUGGGCUGGAAAUGUACAAGUAUGCAUCACCCAUCAUGCUGGUGACACUAAUAGGAAAUUUACAUUUUUUUCUGGCAGAGCACUGGGAAAACAGGUCUCUGAUAGAACAAUAGCACAGUUUUGAAAUGAGCUUGUUUUCUAGCAAACAUAAAACUUAAAUGUGCAUGUAAGUGUGUGUACAUAUACAUAUACAUGAGUCUACACAUAAUUUUAUCAUACGCACUUUUUCAACUUGCCAAGCAGAUAUUAAGUUGGUUAAUGAAUUUUUCUUCAACUUUUCUUCCUGGGUGUCACUAGCUUGAGGUGACAUGAAGUUGACAUUUUGGGGGCAGAUAUUAUGGACCAGGCAUACUGUCAGGUAAUUUAGUCAUAUCAUCUCAUUUAAUUCUCACAAAAACUCUAUGAUAUGGGGAAAAUUUCAUUUUUUUUUUAGAUAAGCAACCUGCAGCUAUGAGGUUAUGCAAUUUGUUCAAGGUCACAGAGCAAGUAAGGGUGAGAGCUGAGACUCAACUGUUACGGACCACAAGUUCGUGUUCCCAAUGCACCAUGAGGCCAAACAAUACCAAAACAUCAGAAUGUGGAGAAGAGAAAGGUUUAUUGCAGGGUCAUUCAAGGAGAUGGCUGCCUCAUGCCUCCCCAAAACCCUGAACUCCCUGAAAUCUUUCAGCAAAGCAUUUUUAAAGGCAAGGUAAGGGAGGGGCCUUGUUGGUUGUUGCAAAGUUCUUGGUGCAGGAAUCUUUUGUUCAGUAGGUCCAGUCACGAUGUUCCUAUAAACCUCCAAUAGGACAAAUGUUAUUCUCUGUUCUGCAACUUUUUAUCUCUAUAUGAAUGGAAAAGUGUAAUACCCUUAGAGGUGAGAGCCUUGAGAAUAGGCUAUCCUGUAUAUUUCAGGCUUUAGGCAACAUUCUUAACUCAAAGCAAAAACAAUAGAAUACAAAGUUUAAAGUAAAAGAGACAGAUCUAAUAUGGAGUCAUAUUUGUUCUUCCCCAUUACAGAACUAGGGUCUUUUUGAUCCCAAAGAUCAUAUUCCUUUCACUACACAUUCCUGGGUUUUCAUGUUUGAAAUCUUGUAGCUUUACACUAAGCGUCACAUGGCUUAGUAUUCAAAUGUGAGCCAUCUUCUUGUAUUGUUUUAUUCAUAUUUAUUGUAACCAUACAGCUUUGUAUUUUAUACAGCACCUACUGCUGAGAAGGAGUGAGAUUUAGGCAACCCCAUGAGCUUCAGAAUUAGAUUUGGAUUUUGGUCCUGGCCAUACUAAAGCUUGACUAUGUGAUGCUGGGCAAGUUAUGUAACUUUGCCAAACUCUGGUUUCCUCAUCUGAAAAUGGGGAAAAUAAUUGCAUCCUCACAAGAUUGCUGAGAGUAGUAGUAAAGACAUUUGUUCAAAGUUUGUGACAGUGGAAGCUGGGUAAGUGUUCAUUUUUCUUUAUCUUUUUAGAAGGAUGGAACAACUCAGUGAAUGUGGCCUGAAGUAUUAACUAAAUUAAAUGAAAUGUAAAAUCCUUCUUUCCUGUUCCCUAAUUCCAUUCCUCUUUCACAAGAAAGCAUACCAGAACAAGGAAUAGCUGGCCUUCUGAUGAAAAUACUCCAUCUUUCAGGCAAAGACAGAAUUCAUGUGCUAGAUCAGAGCCGUGUGGCAGUUUUCAUUUUUAUAGACUGCCCUGGACAAUGACCACUCCACUCUCUGAUCUAUGAACUUGAAUAUUUUAGAUACCUUCUGUAAGUUAAAUUGUGCAGUAUUUGUUUUUCUGUGGCUGGCUUUUUAAAUGUAGCACAAUGUCUUCUUGGUUCAUUCAUGUUAUUCAAUAUUGCAAAAAGUCCCUUUUAAAGGCUAAAUAAUAUUCUGUUGUAUGUAUAUACCACAGUCUCCUUAUCCAUUUAUCUAUAAUUGGGCCUUUAGGUUGUUUCUAGAUAUUGACUGUUGUAAGUAGUGCUGCAAUGAACAUAGGAGUGCUAAUAUCUCUUCAAGAUCUUGAUUUCCAUUCUUUUGGAUAAAUAUCAAAAGUGUGACUGCUGGAUCAUAUGAUAGUUCUAUUUUUAAUUUUUUGAAGAACCUCCAUACUAUUUUCCAUAGAAGUACUAGAAUUUUGCAUUUCCAUCAACUGUUUAAAAGGGUUCCAAUUUCUCCACAUUCUCACCAAUACUUGCUGUCUUUUUGUUUUUUUGAUGAUAGCCAUUCUGACAGGUAUGAGGUGAUACCUCAUGUUGGCUUUUAUUUGUAUUGCCCUGGUGAUUAGUGAUGUUUAACAAUUUUUUUUUUCAUUUACUUAUUGGCUAUUUGUAUGACUUCUCUGGAUAAAUGUCCAUUUAAGUCCUUAGCGCAUUUUAAAUCAGGUUAAGUGUUUGUUUUUCACUAUUGAAUUGUAGGAGUUCCUUAUAUAUUUUGGAGAUUAACUCAUUAUCAAAUGUGUGUGAUGUGGUCUGACUGUUGGUAAUCCCUUAAAAUUCAUAUGUUGAAACCUUAAUUCCCAAUGUGAUGGUAUUAGGAGGUGGGACUUGGGAGGAUUUAGGACCCCACAUGAAUGGAAUUAGUGCUCUUAUAAAAGAGAUCCCACAGAGCUCCCUAAUGCCUCCUGCUACAUGAAGAUACAAGGAAAAACCUGCAACAGGGAAGGGGAAUGCUCAUCUGACUAUGCUGACACCCAGAUCUCAGAUUUCCAGCCUAUAAAAUUAUGAGAGAUAAAUUUCUGUUAUUUAUAAGCUACCCAGUCUAUGAUAUUCUGUUAUAGCAUAAUGAGCAGUUUAAGACAUAUGGUUGGCAAAUAUUUUUCUCCCAUCCAUUCCAUAGGUUUCCUUUUUACUGAGUUGAUUGUUUCCCUGAUUAUGCAGUUUCUAAUUUGAUAUAAUCCCACUUGUUUAUUUCUGUUGCUGUUGCUUGUGCUUUUGGUGUCAUAUCAAUGUAAUCAUUCUUAAUAUAAAUAUUGUGAAGUUUUCCCUAUGUUUUCUUCUAGAAAAAUUUCAGUUUAUUUCAAGUCUUUAAUCUAUCUUCAGUUGAUUUUUGUUUAUUGUAGAAAAUGAGCCAAAUUUAUUCUUUUGCAUGUGGAUAUCCAAUUUUUUCAAAAUCAUUUGUUGAAGAGAUUAUCCUUUUCUCAUUGUGUAUUCUUGGCACCCUUGUAUAAAAGAUCAGUUGACAAUUAAUGCAUAGAUCUAUUUUGGGCUUUCUAUUCUGUUCCAUUGUUCCAUAUGUCUGUCCUUAUUCCAGUAUCAUCCUGUUUAGAUUAUUGUAGUUUUGUAAUACAUUUUGAAAUCAGGAAGUGUAAUCCCUCUAACUUUGUUCUUCUUUUUCAGGGUCAGUUUAGUUAUUCAUGGUCUUUUGUGGUACCAUAGGAAUUAUUUUCCAUUCUAUUCUAGAAUUGUUUUUUCUAUUUCUGUAAAAAAUGCUAUUGUAAUUUUGAUAGUCACUGCAUUAAAUCUGUAAAUUGCUUUGGGUACUAUGGGUAUUUUAACAAUAUUAAGUCUUUAAAUCCAUGAACACAGAAUAUCCCUCUAUUUGUUGUGUCUUGUUUAAUUUCUUUCAUCAGUUUUUUCCAGUUUUUGGUAUACAAUUCUUUCACCUCCUUAACUAAGUUUAUUUCUAAGUAUUUUAUCCUUUUUUGGUGCCAAUGUAAGUUGGAUUGUCUCCCUAAUUUUAUUUUCAGAUAACUUGUUUUGUUAGUGUAUAGAAAUACAACUGAUUUUUUCCAUUUUGCUUUUGUAUCCUGCAAAUUUACUGUAUUUGUUUAUUAGUUCUAAAGUUUUUGUUGUUUUUGUUUUUUGAUGGAAUCUUUGUAGUUUUCUUUAUAUAAGAUGAGGGCAUUUGCAAAUGGGAACAGUUUUACUUUUUUCUUUCUAAUUUGUGUGCCUUUUAUUUCUUCUUCUUGUCUAAUUACUCCAGCUAAUACUUACAGUAGAAUGUUGAAUAGAAGUGGUAAGAGUGGGCAUCCUUGCUUCAUUCCUCUUCUCAGAGGAAAAGCUUUCAGUCUUUUGCUGUUGAGUAUGAUGUUACCUGUGGGUUUGUCAUAUAUGACCUUUAUUAUGUUGAGGUAAUUUCCUUGUAUUUCUAGUUUGUUGGUGUUUAUUAUAAAAGGAGAUUGAAUUUUGUCAAACACGUUUUCUGCAUCUAUUGGCACUAUGACAUGGUUUUUAUCCAUUGCUUUGUCUCAUGUAUUAUGUCACAUUAAUUAACUUUUUUAUGUUGAACCAUCCCUGCAUCCCAGUGAUAAAUUUCACUUGGUCAUGGUGUAUGAUUUUUUAAGUGUGCCAUUGAAUCCAGUUUGCUAGUAUUUUGUUGAGAAUUUUUGCAUCUAUAUUCAUCAGGGAUAUUGGCCUGUAGUUUUUUUUUCUAAUUGUAUCUUUGUUUGGCUAUGGUAUCAGGGUAUUGCUGGGAUCAUAAAAUGAUUUUAGAAAUGUUUCAUUCCCUUUAGUUUUUUGGAAGAAUUUGAGAAGGUUUAGCUUUAAUUCUUCUUUAAAUGUUUGAUAGAAUUUUCCUGUGAAGCCAUCUGAUCCUGGGAUUUUUGUUGUUGCUGGGAGGUUUUGAUUACUGAUUCAAUCUUCAUAUUGGUGAUAAGUCUGUUCAGACCUUCUAUUUCUUCAUGAUCCUUUUUAAUAGGUUGUAUGUUUCUAGGAAUUUAUCCAUUUCUUACAGGUUAUCCCAUCGGUUGGCUUAUAAUUGUUCAUAGUAGUUUCUUGUGAUCCAUUUUAUUUCUGUAGUAUUAGUUGUAAUGUCUCUUUCAUUUCUGAUUUUAUUUAUUUGAGUCUUCUCCCAUUUUUCUUAGUUAAGCUAAGGGUUUGUCAAUUUUGCUUAUCUUUUUUGAAAACCAACUCUUAAUUUUGUUGAUUUUUUCUAUUGUUUUUCUAUUCUUUAUUUUAUUAAUUUCUGCUCUAAUAUUUGUUAUUUCUUUCCUUUUGCUAACUUUAGGUUUCCUUUUCUAGCUCUUUUUGAUGUAAAUUUAGGUAGUUUAUUUGAGUUCUUGCUUCUUUUUUAAUAUAGACAUUUAUUGCUAUGAACUUUUAAUACUGUUUUUGCUGCAUCCCCUAAGUUUUUGGUAUGUUGUGUUUUCAUUUUCCUGGCUCUCAAAGCAUUUUCUGUUUCCUUUUUGAUUUCUUCUUUGAUUCAGUGGUUGUUCAAGAGUAUGUUGUUUAAGUCCCAUACAUUUGUGAAUUUUUCAGUUUUACUCCUGCUAUUAAUUUUUACUUUCAAUCCAUGUGGUCAGAAAAAAAUACUUGGUAUGAUUUCAAUCUUCUUAAAUGUUUUAAAACUUGUUUUGUGACCUAACAUGUUAUCUAUCCUGGAGAAAUAUCUGAUCAUUUGAUGCUGUGCCAGGGGCAGGUCCUCUGGUGAGAAGGUGAUCUGAACUUCCCUACUGUCUUCUGUGAGUCUGAUUUCACAUUCUCCUGGGUUACAGGAGUCUUUCACCUAAUUUCUGGUUUUCUCACAAAGAUACUUUGUCCAUGAAUUGUUGCUGAAUUGGUGUGUUUGUAGGGGCAAGAAGAUUCUAAAACUUCCUACUCUACCAUCUCAUUGACAUCACUCCUGAUAUUUCUUAAUGACAUAUCCAGUGUGGGUCUUAAAAAUUAUCUUGCUUGUUACUCAGUAGGCCUUUUUAUUUUUAUUGAAUUCAUAUUUAUUAAAGGGGAAUUCACCAACAAGUUUAUCCAAUUUUGAAGAACAUUUUGAUAACUUUCACAAACACAUAUCAUUAUAAAUUUACCACUGUAUCAAGGUACAGGAUAUUUCCAGCACUUCAUGCCUCUUCUUAAUCCCCAAUCUUUCAUCUCCCAUGCCUAGAAAAGACUAAUCUUAUUUCUGUCUCUAUUGAUUUGCCUUUUUGAGAAUGUCAUACAAAUACAAUCAAACUGUAUGUAGGUUUUUGUGUC